rnacentral:rRNA from 1 species
AUUGAACGCUGGCGGCAUGCUUUACACAUGCAAGUCGAACGGUAACAGGGUGCUUGCACCGCUGACGAGUGGCGAACGGGUGAGUAAUGCGUCGGAACGUGCCGAGUAGUGGGGGAUAACGCAGCGAAAGUUGUGCUAAUACCGCAUACGUACUGAGGUAGAAAGUGGGGGACCUUCGGGCCUCACGCUAUUCGAGCGGCCGACGUCUGAUUAGCUAGUAGGUGAGGUAAAGGCUCACCUAGGCGACGAUCAGUAGCGGGUCUGAGAGGAUGAUCCGCCACACUGGGACUGAGACACGGCGCAGACUCCUACGGGAGGCAGCAGUGGGGAAUUUUGGACAAUGGGCGAAAGCCUGAUCCAGCCAUGCCGCGUGUCUGAAGAAGGCCUUCGGGUUGUAAAGGACUUUUGUCAGGGAGGAAAUCCCUAGUGCUAAUACCGCUGGGGGAUGACAGUACCUGAAGAAUAAGCACCGGCUAACUACGUGCCAGCAGCCGCGGUAAUAC